CUGAGGUAACCCUCUGAAUUUUCAAAAGGAUAAAAAUAACCAGGAAAUCCUCUUCGUGGAAUAUAUUCAAUUGGUCCUAUAUUCUCUUGAUCUGCUGGAUUCUCUCCUUCGCAAGAUACCCAAAUUGUGUCAAGCUGGACAUACAAAGUGAUCAAGUUGAUUGAUGGUACAACUGAAAUGGAAAUUAUUUUAAAUUUAAAAAAAAAAAGGAUAUUAAAGAUAUAAGGUAUUUUUUAUGAUCUGAUAUUAAAAAGAACUGGGAAACAAUGUAAGGAUAAUCAGCCAAUUUCAAGGUUAGGAUAAAAUGAAGGAUACAGUAUUUGAACAGUGAAUGCAAUUUGCAAGAAUCUGUAAAGCUGCAGUAGGCUUCUGAGCUAAUUAAACUAAAAAGAAGAUGUAAUCUCGCGAUUCUCUUCACCUUCCUAUGCAUUUUUGUGGGUCUUCUAUUUACUAUUGAAAUAGUUGAAACAUACGCACGUGUGCACACGCACACAUUCAACUAAUCGUAACAUGAUAUUCUAUGGAUUAUUUUUCAAGAAGACCAACCACGUUGAUGCAUCAAGAUAAAUUUAUAUACGAAGUCAUUUAUAUUUUUUUAUUAUUUAAUAUUCAUACGGAUAAGAGCAACUUUUUAAUUAGUGUAAUAAACAAAGAAUAAAAAUUAUGUUAUUAAAAUGAAUGAUUAGUAAAAUCUAGAUAUAAAUCUGUAGUUUGUCUAUAAUUCUUUAAAAACUAUUGAAAUAAAUAUGAGUGGAAUUGUAUUAAAAAUUAAAAAUUAGCAAUAUUAAUUGUCAAUAUACAUUAUACAUAAUGUUCCUUUUCAAUAUGAUGUUCAAUAUUAUAUGCUGUUCUACACCCUCUCAUAGGGUGUGUUUUCAAUUGUUGCCAUAACAACGUAAUAAUUGAUGUAUAUAAAUAAUAUGACAAAUUUUUCAUAUUCUAUUAUUUGUAAAUGAUAGAAAGAUAAAUAUAUAAAUAUAAAAUAUAAUAUAAAAUAUAAAAU